rnacentral:rRNA from 1 species
GUACACGCUGUGACUAGCAUAUCAAUAAGCGGAGGAAAAGAAACUAACAAGGAUUCCCUCAGUAACGGCGAGUGAAGCGGGAAGAGCUCAAAUUUGAAAUCUUGAAAGGUCACCUUUCAGCGAAUUGUAGUUUAAAGAAGUGUUUUCUGUUACGAUCGUAAUAUAAGUUCUUUGGAAUAGGACAUCACAGAGGGUGAGAAUCCCGUCUAUGAUUGCGAUUUGUAGCUUUGUGAUACACUUUCAAAGAGUCGGGUUGUUUGGGAAUGCAGCCCAAAAUGGGAUGGUAAAUUUCUUCUAAGGCUAAAUAUUGGCGAGAGACCGAUAGCGAACAAGUACCGUGAGGGAAAGAUGAAAAGAACUUUGAAAAGAGAGUUAAACAGUACGUGAAAUUGUCAAAAGGGGAAGCGUUUGACACCAGUGUUGUUUUCUCGAAAAUCAAUUAAAAAUGGCUCGAUUUUGUAUUGCUGAGACCUUAAAAGCUCACUGUACAUUUUUCGUGUCUUUUUUAAUGCACUUUUCGUUUAACAAGUCAACAUCAGUUUCUUUUGUUGUAAAAGGGUCAUUGGAAGGUGGCUUUCUUUUCGGAGAAAGUGUUUAUAGCCUUUGGCCUCUGCAAUCGGAGAGACUGAGGUCUGCAGCGUAGACUCUUCGGGGUUAGAUACAUUUGUGCUAAGUUAUAGCUUUUUAUAGACAACAUGUUGACUAUAAUUAGUCUUGUAGCUUACUCGCUUAUGCUAUUUUACCUACGCUUAGGAUGUUGAGUAGCGACAUACGCAC